rnacentral:rRNA from 1 species
CUGCUGCCUUCCGUAGGAGUCUGGUCCGUGUCUCAGUACCAGUGUGGGGGACCUUCCUCUCAGAACCCCUACGCAUCGUCGCCACGGUGGGCCGUUACCCCGCCGUCUAGCUAAUGCGCCGCAUGCCCAUCCUCUUCCGAUGAAUCUUUCCUCGAUCUCGGAUGCCCGAAACCGAUAUACGCGGGAUUAGCCUCCCUUCCGGAAGGUUGUCCCCCUGAAGAGGGCAGGUUGCAUACGUGUUACUCACCCGUGCGCCGGUCGCCCGG